UACAGAGGUGGCAAGCGUUGUUCGGAAUUACUGGGCGUAAAGGGCGCGUAGGCGGCCAUCUAAGUCAGACGUGAAAUCCCCCGGCUUAACCUGGGAACUGCGUCUGAUACUGGAAGGCUUGAGUAUGGGAGAGGGAUGUAGAAUUCCAGGUGUAGCGGUGAAAUGCGCAGAUAUCAGGAGGAACACCGGUGGCGAAGGCGGGUCUCUGGGCCGAUACUGACGCUGAGGAGCGAAAGCGUGGGGAGCGAACAGG
rnacentral:rRNA from 1 species